rnacentral:rRNA from 1 species
CAGACGGGUGAGUAACACGUGGGUACCUGCCCCCGAGUGGGGAAUAACCCAGGGAAACUUGGGCUAAUACCGCAUGACAUCGUUUUCUCCCUGGAGAGAGCGAUUAAAGCUGGGGAUCGAAAGACCUAGCGCUUGGGGAGGGGCCCGCGUCUGACUAGCUUGUUGGUGGGGUAAAGGCCUACCAAGGCUUCGAUCAGUAGCCGGCCUGAGAGGGUGAUCGGCCACACUGGAACUGAGACACGGUCCAG